rnacentral:lncRNA from 1 species
CAAGGAAGCAGCAGCAGGGCAGACUUGGAGUCCAAGGACAAGCUGUUGUGUAUCACAGAGAUCCUGUUGAAGAAAUCAGCCUUGUGCCAAACACUGAAGAAACAGUCAGAUUCCAGCUCAAUUCGAUUUAUGUAACACAAUUCUGUUCUGUUUGCUCCUCUUGGCAAAGUCUCUCUUGAAUGACUGGGAUUCUCAGCAGCUCCAGCAUGAGGCCCAUUGACACCGGAAGAGUGGCAGGGAAGAGCUCUUGGUUGUCAGCUUGCAACAAUGCCUUCAGGUGCCCACUGCAUGCAAACACAUCCCCCAGGAGAGGGCUCCUCUAUGUUGGAAUAUGUACACAAGGCCUUCUAAAGUCUCCUGAAGCCAAUCAGCUAUGUAGAGUGUGCCCGAUAGACAAUGAUGGAGCUGGAAACUGAAGGACUUUGGAAGCAGGGAAAAAUCACGAGAUACCUGCAGUGAUCUUGGAAGGAGAAUUGGACACUAAAGUGAUCAAUAUGCAAGCCUGAGAGCCUGAGACCAAUAUAAAGAUUGAGAAAAACACCAGGUAUUUAUCUCUUGCCUCCACAUGCACUUGUACACAGGACACAAGCACACAGAUGCAUAGACAGGCACAC